GUCCACAGCUCCGCGCCACGCAGCACAGCCGACUGGGCAGCAGAUCUUCGCAGCAGGACACACCCGUGGAGGGGACAGCCUGGGGCUUUAAACCCCUUGCCGAGGAGUGACAACAUCCCCUGCUCAACAUAAAGGGGAACCGCUCCUUGUGCAAGACUAAGGCUUUGCCUCUCAGCCCUCCACCACAUCACCCCGCUGGGCAUGAGUUACUCUGUGGGUUUCCUCCUGUGAUCUUACAGCCACAGAGACGUGGGAGAUUUGUGCCACGCUCUCCACAAUGAUUUGUUUAUCUGCCAUCGAAGAACUGAAGGCAGCUUUACCCACCCCCAAAAAAACGAGGUGUGGACAGAAAACCCCCCCUCUCGACUCACUGAGGCUCCUCCUCCAAGAAGACCCCCUCUAAGAAGCUCAGUCUGCGGUAUCACUCAGAGACCUGGUUUGACACACUCGUUCUUUCCAGGAAUGGAAGAGUAGAAUUUGCCCAGAACCUAAGCUCCAAGUACAGAGCUGGGGCUUUUGAGGCCGACUUUCCUGUGAAUGCCAUCUUCCUGAUGCACCCGGGGACCUACGGAUGCUACCACGGUCUACACAAGAACUUCCCCUACCUCUGGUCAGAACCCAGUGAUGUCCUGAUGCUCCCAGAGAGAGGUGAGGGGUCCCCACGCUUCCCAUCUGCUCCCGGGACUCCCAGACUAUGGCAGCGGCUAGCUAGAGGCCGUUCUUUUGUUUUCAGUUAAUGAAAAUUAAAUAAAACUUAAAAUUCACUUCCUCAGUUGCACUAGGCACGUGAUGUGCCCUGCAGCCACUGAGUGCCUAACGGCUCCCAUAUGGGACAGCACAGCCCUAGAGAAUCAGUAGUAAAACUCAAAUGAUAAAGGACAUUUCCAUCGUUGUAUGAGGGUCUAUGGGACAGAGCCAUUUUCAAAUGUCAGCUUGUUGACCUGUGACCCCAGGGUCCCUGAUGGGGAUUGCAGACCCAGCGCUACUGGGGUUGAAAACACGGGGCAGAGAUGGAGGGGAUCUUAGCCCUGAAAAAGCAACAGUGAGGGACUUCCCUGGCUGUCCAGUGGUUAGGACUCCAAGCUUCCACUGCAGGGGACACAGGUUCCAUCCCUGGUCAGGAAACUAAGAUCCCACAAGUUUCAGCCAAAACAAAGGUAUUAAACCAAAAAACAAAAAACUAAAUAAAACCCAAAACUAACCAAAAGCUGGCUUUUAAAACAUUAAUUCCAUUAAUUAAAGCUUCCACCUUUAGGGACUUCCCUGGUGGUCCAGUGGUUAAGACUUCGCCUUCCAAUGCAGGGGGUGCAGGGUCGAUCCCUGGUCCGGGAGCUAAGAUUCCCACAUGCCUGACAGGAAUGUGGACUUCGCUGGUGGUGCAGUAGUUAAGAAUCCACCUGCCAAUGCAGGGGACAUGGGUUCGAGCCCUGGUCUGGGAAGAUCCCACAUGCCGUGGAGCAACUAAGCCCAUGCGCCACAACUACUGAGCCUGCAACUACUGAGCCUGCGAACUACUGAGCUCACGUGCCACAACCACUGAACCCCGCGCGCCUAGAGCCCAUGCUCCGCAACAAGAGAAGCCACCACAAUGAGAAGCCCGCGCACUGCAAUGAAGAGUAGCCCCUGCUCACCGCAACUAGAGAAAGCCCGCGCGCAGCAACGAAGACCCAAUGCAGCCAUAAAUAAAUAAAUAAGUUUAUUUUAAAAAAGAAGCAACAUUGUAACCGAUUCAAUAAAGACUUUAAAAAUGGUCCACAUCAAAAAAAAUC